rnacentral:sRNA from 1 species
GCCUUGUUUAUGCUCAGCCAGCGCUGGCUGCAAGCUUUCGCCUCGCACACACAGAGACAGGACACACGCGCACAGAUACUUACAGAGGCGCGCACACACACACUGAUGCAUGUGCGUGUGUGUAAGUGUGUGUGUGUGGGACAAUUGGCUCAGCUGCGAAUUGGGAGCAGAAUGCCGACUGAUGCUGCUGCCGCUGCUGUGAAUCUCUGGUUAUUUCACAUUUUUCGUAGUACGGAGCACGGAAGCAGACGUUCCAAGCCUUGAGCUAACGCACGUACAUCACGACGCUUCGACGACGACAACAACAACAACAACAACAACAACAACUGUCAUAGCUACAACGACAACAACAAGUUACAUGGAACUUCAGCAGGGACUUGGCCAAUAUGUUGUGCGAAUGUGAAUCGAUGAGCCUCAACAUGCUCCGCUGGAUCUCUCUCCCACUCGCGCACACAACUACACAAAAAUAACUAAUAGAAAAACAACAUGAGAAUAACAAAGAAAUAAAUAACAAAUAUUCAGAAAAUACAAAAAUAAAAUAAAAGCGCUUAUGAAAUCAAAUGAAGACUGAUAUGUAUGAAAUGUGUAACAAGUGAUAUUCAAACUUGAGCCGAAUCGUGGAUUAGUGCAGACAAAUGUUUUAUGCAAAUCGCGUUUGCCUCAAAACGCCCAACAAUAGCAAUAACAACAACCUCGACAACAACAGCAACCUCAGCAACAACAACCACAACCACAACAACAACAACAACAGCAGCAGCAAGUUGGCGUGCCAGGGUAAACCGAUGUACAUAUGUAUGUAUGGCAGAGUACAUAUGUAUGUACAUACGGUCCUGUGAAUGUGACACCUACGCAACGCGAAGCGCAUUAAAGUGCGAACACAGCAGCAGCAGCAGCAGCAGCAGCAGCAGCGGCAGCAGCAGCAGCCGCCAACACAGCAGCCCAACUCCAAUCAGUAGCGCGUCACACGCACGCGCCAAAAACCGCUAAAACAAAAAGAGACAACAACAGCAGCAGCAGCAGCAGCAGCAGCAAG